rnacentral:rRNA from 1 species
CGUCAGCUCGUGUCGUGAGAUGUUGGGUUAAGUCCCGCAACGAGCGCAACCCCUACGUUUAGUUGCUAACGCGUGAAGGCGAGCACUCUAGACGAACUGCCGUUGACAAAACGGAGGAAGGUGGGAUGACGUCAAAUCAUCAUGCCCCUUAUGUUCUGGGCUACACACGUGCUACAAUGGCCGGUACAGACGGGCGCAAAGCCGCGAGGUGGAGCAAAUCCUAAAAAGCCGGUCUCAGUUCGGAUUGCAGGCUGCAAUUCGCCUGCAUGAAGUCGGAAUCGCUAGUAAUCGCAGGUCAGCAUACUGCGGUGAAUACGUUCCCGGGCCUU